GACACAACAACAACAACAAUGAACAACAUCAUCAUCCUCAUCUGGACCAUUGCAGCUUUUAUUCAAGCAUCCAGAGGAGUCACUUUGACUCAACCUAAAGAGAAAACUGUCCAGCUCGGUCAAACAGCUACAAUAGAGUGUCAUAUAGAUGUAGGAAUAUACAGCACUCACUUAUACUGGUAUCAGCAGAAACCUGGAGAAACUCCUAAACUUCUGAUAUCUUAUAUAAACACCCUCCAGUCUGGAACUCCAUCUAGAUUCAGUGGCAGUGGAUCUAACAGUGAUUUCACUCUGACCAUCAGAGGAGUCCAGACCGAAGAUACAGGAGAUUAUUACUGUCAGAGUGCACAUAAGAUCACUACAUCAGUAAUAGCUGGGUGUUCACAGUGAUAAAGAGUCGUACAAAAACCUCCGUCAGUCAGAGUCACAGUGACUGCACUGAUACAGCUGAGAGAUACUGCAGCUGCUGAUGGAUGUUAUUUUCUGUUAUUUCUUAUAACAGUCUCAUUCACUCAAAAAUGCUGAAGUCUUGUAAUUAUUUGUGGGUCUUUUUUGGAUCUGUUUUUCACAAACAACUUCACCAUGGAUGAAGUUAAUUCAUUAUUCAAAAUGAUCCACCAUUAAACAAUCCAAUGAAAUCUAACGAUACUCAUGCAGGGAAUCAGAUAGAGUCCUCAUGUCCUUUCAAUCCAGAACUACACAAAAUUAGUUCUCCAUGAUUUCCUUUUAAGUGUCAUGAAACAUUAAAACUUAAUUCUUCAUUUUCUUCUUCUUCUUCUCAGUGGCGGAGCCAGGACGUUUUCAUAGGGGUGGCCAGGGAGGGUGCCAGCAACCAGUCUGGGGUGGCACAGAAAUCUUCAUUAUUUCAAUAUAAAAAUGUGUUUGACUGUUUUCAUUCCAAAAACACAACUAAGUACAAUUAAUUUAUAAUAAACUGUAAUUGAAAUAUUUGUGAAUUAGAUCAAGUAAUACUGAGUGAAUAUGACAAUUUUUGUAUUAUUCCUCACCUCCAGCUAUUUUAUAAAGGGCCUCACUAUAGCUUUAUUGCUCAUUCAACUUCUCAAAACUCCCAAAUGCUUGCUCUCCAAUAUUGCAUACUAAUGGAUGAGACACACAGAAAGAUCUGAAAAUGGCUGGAAGUCAACAGUAAAACUGUGCUCACAUUUUCUAUGCAUUAAAUUACAAAUAAAAAUACAUAUCAGUUUGUGCCUUAGGUAUUCUCGAAUUAUAGAAUAUAUUUUAGUAUGCAUUUGAGCAACGUUCUUGCAUACUGCGUAUACAUGCAAAGUUUGCAGCUUUAAUCAUCUUUUUGGAGAUUGCAUGACUGACGACAGAACUGGGUAUGUAUGCUCAUAUUUAUUGUGCAGGUUAUUUAUGAUGAAGUGAUAUAGAGCGUGCGCAACAUAUCUGUUGAAGAGCCGUGAGCAAAGUAAAACAGCUAAUGGGACAGGAAAGUGUGUUUUACUGACAUAUAGGCUAGUCUAACAACAUUUCAUCAGACCGAAGUUCACAGUUGUUCUACUUAAGCUGAUUUGGCUGCUGUAGCUUUUCCACGCUCGUUUGACUCGCGCCUGACACUGAGGUGAAGCUGAAGUGAGCUUCUGAAAAUUCUCCCGUUUGAUGUAGUCAUAAAUAGAGGUACGGUGUUCCGAAUCUUAAUAAAUGCAUUUUUUCGUAACUAAAAAAAGGGACAAAAACUGCAGUUUUGAGUGGGUUGGCCAAAGGGGUGGCCAUGCUUUCGACCCCCGGGCUCCACCCCUGCUUCUUCUUCUUCUUCUUCUUCCACAGAGAAAAUCUCAAAUGUUGUAUUUUGUUAAGAAUCAUUCUGUAAUUGAAAGGCAGUUGUGAAAAUGAUGUUUUGGAGUUCACACAACCAAAUAACAUUUUCACACAUUUCUUAGAAUUCAGUAAAAUUACAGCUUGAUUGGAAUUAACUCAAAAAUAUUCUGCUCACAAGUGAUAUUUACCUUGGUUUUCCACUUUUAUAAGUUCUUUAUUAAAAAAAAAUUUCAGUGGAAAUGAAACCACAGUCAUAGUCAGAAUACUGAAUAUUAUAUUUUAUUGUAAGUUAAUAUAAUACAUUUUAUAUUUUAACAUUGCAAGUCAUAACAAAGAAGCAUUUGAAAAGCAAAAACACAUUCAUGAAGAAUUAAGUUUAUUAUGAUAUUCAAAUAACCAAAGAAAGGGCUGAAAUUAAUUAGUUUUAGUUUUAAUUUAAAUUCACUCUUGGAGUAUAAGAGAGAGUAAGAGAUGUAAGAGAGACAGGUGUACUGUUGAUGUUAACAGUGGGGUUUGUCAGCUUCUGCUGGCGUAGUGCUGAUGUUAACGGCGGGGUUUGUCUCUCUCUGCUGGUGUAGUGUCGAUGUUAACAGCGGGGUUUGUCUCUCUCUGCUGGUGUAGUGUCGAUGUUAACGGCAGGGUUUGUCCCCCUCUGCUGGUGUAGUGUCGAUGUUAACGGCGGGUUUUGUCUCCCUCUGCUGGUGUAGUGU